AUGUCUGUCAACGCUAUGGAGUUGGUGUGUUGGAACGUCAGAGGCCUUAACAACCCGGCCAAGAGGAAGGCUCUUAGAGGAUUUGUUGACUCGGUGAACCCGGCGAUUGUAUGUAUUUUACAAACCAAGCUAGAGGUAGUGAACAUUUUUGUAAUCCUGCAAUGCAUGGGGCCAAACUAUGAUGGUUUUACCUAUUUACCGGCGUCGGAGACGAGGGGUAGCAUCUUUGUUGCUUGGGACACCACUCGAGUGAUGGUUACUAACUUUGUCAAUGACUCUCAUUGCAUCACGGGGUAUGUCUCGCCUAAGGAGGGGACACCUUGGUGGCUUACCGUAGUAUAUGGGCCGCAAGAGGAUGAGCAUAAGAUCAAUUUCUUGAAUGAGCUCUCGGAGAGAAGAUCGCUCUGUCCGGGGCCAUGGCUUGUGGUUGGGGACUUUAAUCUUAUCCUAUACGCGGCGGAUAAGAAUAACUCCAAUUUAGACCGGAGAAUGAUGGGGAAAUUCAAGCGUUUCGUGGAUAACAACGCGCUCAAGGAGCUAUUUUUGCAUGGGCGAAAGUUCACGUGGAGUAACGAAAGGAAGACGCCCACGCUUACCAAGAUCGACCGUGCGUUCGUAUCAGUGGAUUGGGAGAUAGAUCACCCGGAUUGUUUGUUGCAAGCCCUGUCCACGGACUAUUCCGAUCAUUGCCCAUUGCAUCUCACACUCCAUGAGCCAAUGCACUAUAAAAAGAGGUUCCGCUUCGAGAAGUUUUGGGUUAAAAUGGAGGGUUUUCUGGAUAUCGUAAAGGAGGCAUGGGUUUGUGACCCCGAUAUCACGGAUCCUUUCUUGAGGCUGGACAUGUUACUUCGCAACACGGCUAGAGCCCUUGCCGCUUGGGGACAAAGAGAGAUUGGUAAUAUCAAGUUGCAGAUCGCCAUUGCAAACAUUGUUAUCUUGCGGUUCGACUGCGCCAUGGAAAAUCGUAGGCUCACGGAGGAGGAGAGAUGGCUAAGAAGAACUCUGAAGCAACUGGUACUUGGGUUGGCAUCUUUAGAGAGAACCAUUGCGAUACAAAGGUCUAGACUAUCUUGGCUUCAAGAAGGGGAUGCUAACACUCGCUUGUUUCAUUUGGUGGCGAAUGGGAGGCGUAUGAAGAACUACAUACCUUCAUUGAACAUGGAAGGGCGCACUAUCACGGAUCAGAAAGGCAAGGAGGAAGCCUUUUAUAAUGCCUACAAGGAUUUGUUGGGCAAGGAUGUUGCUAGAGAGUACACACUCGAUUUGGAGGGGCUUGGAGUUGCUCAUGUAGAUUUAUCGGAGCAAGACCGGGUGUUUACUGAAGAGGAGGUGUGGGCAGUCAUUAAGGAUCUUCCCUCUGAUAAAGCACCGGGUCCGGAUGGGUUCAUUGGCUUGUUCUUUCAAAAAUCUUGGGAAGUGAUCAAGGAGGAUCUGAUGGCCGCUAUUCAUAAGUUGUUUCUUGGAAAUGGGAGAGGUUUUGGGAGGCUUAACCAAGCCCUCAUCACUCUCUUGCCGAAGUCCCCGGAUGCUUCUUCUGUCUUCGAUUUCCGGCCGAUUAGCCUUGUGCAUAGCAUGCCCAAGAUUGCUUCCAAGCUUCUUACUUCGAGGCUUCGACCGCGCAUGGGAGACCUUGUCCAGGUGAAUCAGUCAGCUUUCAUAAAAGGGAGAUGCUUGCACGACAAUUUUCUGCUCGUGAGACAAGUGGCGAGGAUGAUGCACAAAAGGAAAGCUAAAGGUGUUCUGUUCAAGCUUGACAUUACUAAGGCCUUUGACUCCUUGUCAUGGCCGUUCCUGUUUGAAGUGUUGAGAGCCAAGGGCUUUUCGGAGCGGUGGAUUUCUUGGAUCGCCACCAUGCUUACGACGGCCAGUUCCAGAGUGAUCGUAAAUGGGCAAGCGGGAGAUAAGUUCAUGCAUGCUAAAGGUUUGAGGCAAGGGGAUUCGAUCUCCCCCUUACUCUUUGUUAUAUCCAUGGAUAUCCUCACGCAUAUCAUUAUCAAGGCGCAUGAAGCUGGAGUUAUGAGUCGCAUCCAUGGAUGUAGCCCGGUGCAGAGGCUGUCUUUAUAUGCCGAUGAUGUGGUUCUGUUCAUCAAACCCACACGGCCGGACCUGGCGUUAGUCAGAGAAUCUCUUACCAUCUUUGGAGUUGCCUCUGGACUAAGAGUAAAUUUUGCUAAAUCGGCGGCAAUUAUGAUUCGGGCAGAGCCGGAGGAUGAGGAUAUUGUGAAAUCGGCGCUGCCAUGGAAGCUUGCCACCUUUCCUUGUAAGUACCUUGGAUUGCAGCUAAGUAUUUGGCAGUUGAAAAGAUCGGAGUGGCAGCCUAUGGUGGACGCGGCUCUCCACAUGUUGCCAGGAUGGCAAAGGGGUUUGGUGACUAGACCAGGCAGGCUGGUUCUUGUCAAUCAGGUCAUGAGAGCGCGGGCCACUCACCACCUUAUGGUUGCGGAGGCGCCAAAAUGGGCUCUUGACAAAGUGGACAAAGGAUGUAGGGCCUUCUUCUGGGCCGGGACUGAGGAAAUCAAGGGAGGUAAAUGUGUCGUAUCUUGGGCGAGAGUAUGUAGGCCUAAGCUCAUGGGAGGGCUGGGCGUUAUUGAUCUUCACAAACACGGCAUUGCUCUAAGGUUGAGGUGGGAAUGGCUCAGACGCACGGACCCUUCCAGGUCGUGGCAAGGGCUCUGCUUGGCUACGGACAAAUCGGCUGCGCAGGCGUUCAGUAGCUUGGUGAAAUGGAGAGUUGGUGCUGGGGACAAAACCUUGUUCUGGAAGGAUAGAUGGAUCCAGGGUGCUACCAUUGCAUAG
rnacentral:rRNA from 1 species